rnacentral:rRNA from 1 species
AACGAACGCUGGCGGCAUGCCUAACACAUGCAAGUCGAACGAGACCUUCGGGUCUAGUGGCGCACGGGUGCGUAACGCGUGGGAACCUGCCCUUAGGUUCGGAAUACUCCCCGAAAGGGGUGCUAAUACCGGAUAAUGUCUUCGGACCAAAGAUUUAUCGCCUUUGGAUGGGCCCGCGUUGGAUUAGCUAGUUGGUAGGGUAAAAGCCUACCAAGGCGACGAUCCAUAGCUGGUCUGAGAGGAUGAUCAGCCACACUGGGACUGAGACACGGCCCAGACUCCUACGGGAGGCAGCAGUGGGGAAUAUUGGACAAUGGGCGAAAGCCUGAUCCAGCAAUGCCGCGUGAGUGAUGAAGGCCUUAGGGUUGUAAAGCUCUUUUACCCGGGAUGAUAAUGACAGUACCGGGAGAAUAAGCUCCGGCUAACUCCGUG